GAGGUUUCGCGUAGAGCGAGAGUUUGCGCAUGGUAAUUUGUGUGUUGAAUUGAAGGCUCUUUCCGUUGCCAUUGCAUUUGUAUUUAUAGGACUGAUGUACAUGCUUAGCACGGCUAGAUAAUUGUGUAGAGUCCGAUUGCAACUCUAACUCGCUAAAUAAAAUCUGAUCCAUGGCAUAGGCCAAACUUAUCCUUCAGACUGCAGUUUGUGACUUUUCAAACAAGAUAAAAAAAAACCUAUAUAGGCAAAUCAUAUCACAUUAGAAGCCUAGACCACUAGACUUCUAAUCUCAUAAUAAAAACUCCAUCAGAAACCUUUAAACCUAUUUGAUCACUUUCAUCACCACCAAAAACCUAGCUUUUCUAGGCUUGUCUCAUCAAGUCCAUAGGCUGAAGCUACUCUUUUUUUUUCUUUUUUUUUAUCUAGAUAUAAUCAUCAUAAUCACAUCACAUCACCAUCUCACUAUUUCACCUUUAUCACAUGCAUAUCAUUCAUUCUGAUAAAAUGAAUUUCAAUUCAUUUUUAGCUUCCAAGUACCGUCAAACAUCUCAAACCAAUUCGAACUGUACUACUAGCUUGGGAUAUAAUUCGCAUCGUAUUUAUGUCUAAGAAGAUGCAGAUAAUUCAUAUUAAAAGAUAAUUAUUAUUGUUUGUAUCAUACUUGACCAAUCUCGAAACUACUGAGCACCAGUUAACGUUAUACCGUCAAGGACCAUAAGAGUUUCCCUCCAACCAGGAGGCCAAUCACAGCGCGACACGUGUCAAUAUCAGAAGCCAAUCAUAGCGCGACACGUGUCAACAUCAGAAGCCAAUCACAACACAACACGUGUUAAUAUUAGAAUGAAACUAGAAACUCUCUUCUAUAAAUAGAGAUCAUUCUCUCACAAUAUUUCCGAAUGUCAUUUGUACUAAAUCAUUCACUUGUACUCACUAAAGGAGAGCUUGAACUUAUGUACUUGUGUAAACCCUUCACAAUUAAUGAGAACUCCUCUACUCCGUGGACGUAGCCAAUCUGGAUGAACCACGUACAUCUUGUGUUUGCUUCCCUAUCUCUAUCAAUUUACAUACUUAUCCAUACUGGUAACCGGAGCAAUCUAGCGAAGGUCACAAACUUAACACUUUCUGUUGUACCAAAGUCCUUACUGAUUUUGUGCAUCAACAAUUAUGAUAAAAACCAUAAUAUUAUCCUUUAACAAUAACAAAAUUAUCUUCAUUUUUUCAUCCAACGGUUGGGAGCUAUGCUCACUCUACAACCUUGAUUGCACAGCCCAAUGGUGUAAAUUUGGAUCCAAACAGUUACUGACUAUUUUACUUUGUUUUUUCCAUGGAUAAUUUUUACUCUAUCACACUUUAUUUUUUUUCUCAUGUGUACUUUGUUUAUUUAUGUUUUUAAUUAUUAAAUUAAAAUGUAAAAAAUAGUGUGAAAAUUGCUUAAGUAAAAUAGUAAAAGUUAAUAUAGUAACAGAAGUUACUUGGGCUUUGGAGGCAUGAUUGGGCUGCAAAAAUUAUAGUUAAGGGCCCAACGGAUCCGUAGCCACAAGGCCUAAUAGUAGAAAAAUUAUAGUUAAAAUGUAAAAAAUAGUGUAAAUUGCUUAAAUUUACAUGUAAGUUUAUCAUUUGUAAUUUUUUUUUUUAAAAAAAAAAAAACCUCUCUCCCUUUCUCCUCAAUUCUCUCUCACUCUCUUUCUCUCUCCUUCAAUUUUAACAACCAAAGUAAAAAAUUUCACAUAUUUUGUGUGUGGGCAUAUACUACUAUAUCUGUAAAACAUUGCUUAUAAUUUAACUCUAUGUGUAAUUGUCCUUUUAAAAAAAUAUAGCAAGAAUAAGUUGUAAAAUUAAAUAAUUAAAUAAUAACCAAUCACACCGCAUAGAAAUUAUAUGAGAAAAUCAAUUGGCGCCCUUCAUCACCCCUGACGUUGAAAUCGAUUUGAAAAAAAUAUGUGCCAAAAGACUAAUAUCUAAAACUACAUCAAUAAAAUCUUCUUUGUUAACCAAAAGAGUGUAAAAUGACAAUUUUGUCUUCUACCACAAAACAAAAUCACGAGCAAUAAAGUAAAUUCACACAAACUAAAUUUUAUCCUUUUUUAUAGCAUAACCCAAGGAUGAUCCUAACAUCAUCUAAUUUUUGAAAAAUAAAAUAUAAAAAAGAAACUUCUUUAUGAUCAUAUUCUUUUUUUCUCCCUUUCUCCUUCCCAUUUUAAAAUAAAAACAAACAAAUUUUCACACACAAUGUGUGGGCAUAUGCUAGUAAAUAAAUAAGGGAAGUUUCACCUAUUUUCAUUUUUCACAUAUUUUUCUUAAUUUUCAGCUAAUCAAAUAGAAAUUUAAAAAGAUAAAUAGCAAAAAAUUAACAAAUGUGUGUGGGAGGUAAAUAAAAGAGUAUGAAUAGCACUCUCCAUAAAUGAAUGUUCUUUUUCUAACUCUAAGUAUUUUAGUCACCUAGUACUACUAUCUAAUGGUAUUUGUCUUCACUUGUAAGUAAGAGAUAUUAAGUUUAAUUCUCACCAAAGGCAAAUUUGAACCACAUUAUUGUUGGCUCAUAGUGAGGCUACACCUACCCUUCUCCCUUAGUAUAAAUAAUAACAAGUACAAAAAAAAAAAACUAUAAGUAUUUUACUUUAGAGGAGAUUAAUGUUAAGCAACACAAACUUGAUUAGCCAUAAAAGUUAAGGUAUCGAACUCGUUAUUCAUGUGAGUUGAGUUUUAAACAUUUAACUUACAAGUAUAGAGAAAUACUAUUAUACUACUGGUGGUGC
rnacentral:lncRNA from 1 species